rnacentral:rRNA from 1 species
CUAUACAUGCAGUCGAGCGAACAGAAGGGAGCUUGCUCCCGGAUGUUAGCGGCGGACGGGUGAGUAACACGUGGGUAACCUGCCUGUAAGACUGGGAUAACUCCGGGAAACCGGAGCUAAUACCGGAUAGUUCCUUGAACCGCAUGGUUCAAGGAUGAAAGACGGUUUCGGCUGUCACUUACAGAUGGACCCGCGGCGCAUUAGCUAGUUGGUGGGGUAAUGGCUCACCAAGGCGACGAUGCGUAGCCGACCUGAGAGGGUGAUCGGCCACACUGGGACUGAGACACGGCCCAGACUCCUACGGGAGGCAGCAGUAGGGAAUCUUCCGCAAUGGACGAAAGUCUGACGGAGCAACGCCGCGUGAGUGAUGAAGGUUUUCGGAUCGUAAAGCUCUGUUGUUAGGGAAGAACAAGUGCGAGAGUAACUGCUCGCACCUUGACGGUACCUAACCAGAAAGCCACGGCUAACUACGUGCCAGCAGCCGCGGUAAUACGUAGGUGGCAAGCGUUGUCCGGAAUUAUUGGGCGUAAAGGGCUCGCAGGCGGUUUCUUAAGUCUGAUGUGAAAGCCCCCGGCUCAACCGGGGAGGGUCAUUGGAAACUGGGAAACUUGAGUGCAGAAGAGGAGAGUGGAAUUCCACGUGUAGCGGUGAAAUGCGUAGAGAUGUGGAGGAACACCAGUGGCGAAGGCGACUCUCUGGUCUGUAACUGACGCUG